AUACAUAUUUUCUCCACAAAAUCGCUGCUAAAUGAUUGGCGGCUGUUUUUAAAGAUUUUACCCAACUGCUUUAAUUUAUCGGUGCAUUGAAGACAAAACAAAUCGAGGGAAAAUUAUUUUGUAACACACAGUGUGUGAAAUUUCCAAAAAAAAGUGGCUGAGCAUUUGAUCAGGUAUUUGUGUCGAAUUUCGUUUUUAAUAGAAUAAAUUCACAGGUACACCUAUAAAGUUAAUGUAAUACAAUAUAGAUUAUAUAUCUAUACAAGCGUUCACCUUACAUCCAUUCG